UACGAAGGGGGCUAGCGUUGUUCGGAAUUACUGGGCGUAAAGGGCUCGUAGGCGGCCAACUAAGUCAGACGUGAAAUCCCCAGGCUCAACCUGGGAACUGCGUCUGAUACUGGUUGGCUUGAAUCCGGGAGAGGGAUGCAGAAUUCCAGGUGUAGCGGUGAAAUGCGUAGAUAUCUGGAGGAAUACCGGUGGCGAAGGCGGCAUCCUGGACCGGCAUUGACGCUGAGGAGCGAAAGCUAGGGGAGCAAACGGG
rnacentral:rRNA from 1 species